CCUACGUGAGGCAGCAGUGGGGGAUAUUGGACAAUGGGGGAAACCCUGAUCCAGCGACGCCGCGUGAGUGAAGAAGUAUUUCGGUAUGUAAAGCUCUAUCAGCAGGGAAGAAAGAAAUGACGGUACCUGAGUAAGAAGCCCCGGCUAACUACGUGCCAGCAGCCGCGGUAAUACGUAGGGGGCAAGCGUUAUCCGGAAUUACUGGGUGUAAAGGGAGCGUAGACGGUAAUGCAAGUCUGGAGUGAAAGGCGGGGGCUCAACCCCCGGACUGCUCUGGAAACUGUGUAGCUGGAGUGCAGGAGAGGCAGGCGGAAUUCCUAGUGUAGCGGUGAAAUGCGUAGAUAUUAGGAGGAACACCAGGGGCGAAGGCGGCCUGCUGGACUGUAACUGACGUUGAGGCUCGAAAGCGUGGGGAGCAAACAGGAUUAGAUACCCUGGUAGUC
rnacentral:rRNA from 1 species